CAUAUCUAAAUAUAUAACAUUCGAACAGUAUUUAUUUAUCUUGCGUUAUUCAAUAAAUCAAAUAUAAUCACAUAAAUUGAACGUAAAUGGAGACGAGGGUUAUAUAUGAAGCCUUACAUAUCUACUUAUUAGGGAAGUAGACUGAGGAAUAGCAGAAAUUGCAACUGUACUGUUGACAAGUCGAAGCAACUCAUGAUGUUCUAACCUCAAAAUAAUAUCAUCAACAAUAAUAUUGUUAGAAGAUGAAAAAUGAAGUUCAAUGCUCACUUCUCAGCAGAUAGUUUCACCAAUAAUAUUCUUCUUCAGAUGGACCUUUGCCUCUUGUUGUACAUGCUACUACUAUGGUGAGAAGAAAAAUUUCCCCCUUUAUUUAUUUAUAUAUA